rnacentral:tRNA from 1 species
GCCGCGGUAGCUCAGUGGAUAGAGCACCUGUUUACGGAGCAGGGUUGUCGGGGGUUCGAAUCCCUCUCGCGGUACAA